UCUGGGAGCCGGAUUUGCUGUUCUCUUGAUCAUCUUCAUUACCAUCGGAUACAUCGUAUACAGAAAUAAACGCUGGCGUAAAUGGGAUCCUUCCUUUGAAAGUGAGGAAUCAAGAUGGUACGAGGACACCGAAGAUGUAUGGGCCCUUAAGCUCAGCUUUGAGAAUCCAGGAGCAACUCUACGGGAGGGCGAUAUCUCUUUUAACGGCAGUCAAUCCACCACAAGCAGCUUUCAGCCAAAACUAGAAAAUGUGGACACAGCAAUCAAGGUUAAUAUUAGGCGUCCAGAGAUCAGAGAUAAACAGUCAGCACCGUAAACAUCUGCUAACUUGCCCCAACUACAAGAUACAACACAAACAGCUUCCUGGAGAUUACAGUGUAUGGAUU